GUGAUAUUUAGGCCCUUAUUCCUGCCAAGGAAUCUGAUAUGUGCAGGAAGUCCUUCACGCUUGCCUGGAAUUCCAUUAACAGCAAAGACCCAUCCAGGCAACAGGAGCCACAUGCAUCCAAUUAAGGGCUAGUGGUGCGCGCGCACACACACACAUAUAUAUGCCAUGCAUUACUCACCAAAAUGCAUCAUUUCCAAGUUGGUAGGAAGCUGUUACAUCUUGUAUUGCGGCACUUCGAGAUAGCUCAGUCUUUUAUCCUGCCGAUGGCUCUGGGCAAGAGGUACCACUAGGAGCUGGCAUGGAUGUGGACUGCACAUAAAAAGAUCAGCAUCUGAUCAGCAUCAUGAAAUGGUAGCUGAUGAUUGGCAACAAACAAAAAACGGAGCUUCCCUGGAGGUGUACCAGUUCCAUGAGCCUCCUGCCAGCUGAGCAGCACUGAUGCCAACAGUGGAGAAUAACAUCUAGAAGAUCAAUGAGGAAGGAUAUUUUACAGAGGUGUUAAAGAAAAGGAUAUAAAAAGGAUACUGAAGGUAAAGAAGACAUCAAGACAAUUUUGUACCAGAGGUGAAGCAUCAUGAGCAAUUCCAUGUGGACCAACUGUACACUAAAAGAAAUGAGGAAAUAAAAGAGAACUGAGAGUACUAGCCAUGAAAUCAUGGAGUAGGAGGAGCAUUCAAUAAGAUGGAUGUGGAUAUGCCACACAACUCCAGUUCCAGAGACAUGGAUAGUUUUUGGAGUCUUCCUUCUCUGUGUGUAUGGCUGAAACUGCUAAAUACAAGAGACAAGAAACAGAGUUCAGUGAAGCAGUACUCAGCUUUGUGUGGUAAUAUGAGGGCCAUGCUGAAGGCAGAAGAGUCCUUGAUGGUUCCGGCUGUCUGGCUUUCUAGGGUAGAGCUGUGGGCAAUCAAUUAACUCCACCAGUCCGAAAAGCAGAAAUGCAUGCAAGCAGACAUCAAAUCCUGCUUACAAGCAAUGCAAACUGAAUACAGCAACUUUGGAGAUUAAUGUUCCUGGACCAGAAGGGACACCAGCAGUGUGUUACUAUCUGGCAGAUCUACAGCAUAGUACAUGGAGAUGCUACCAGCCCCACCCAAAAUUACAUGUUAUGUAACCAAGUGAGAUGCAUUAAGAUCAUCUCCAACAUCGCCAUCUCCUGACUUUGAAUGAUAGUGCAUGUUGCUUCUGUGACAAUUGGUAUUCAAGAAAUGAAAAAAUGGCACUCAAGAUUUCUGUUCUGAAUUAAAAAAAAUAAUAAUAAUCAAUUUUGCACUGAAUUUUUCUUCUUUGUAUUCUGAAAUGUUUUGUAGCUGAUUAUCAAAUAAUUUAUCUUUGAUUUUGUAGUUAUUGUUUGCGUAAGACCCCAUUAACUCUUACAGGGUAGGUGGGCAACUGAAAACGUCAGCAUAUAUAGAAGAAAUUCAAGAACUUCAAGCACUGUAAGCUGUAGAGAGAGUUCCAAGUAACUCUUCAGCAACCUCUGCAAAGUUCCUCUCUUCUGGAAAAUGAAUACUAACCCAGGACAAGAGAAGACUGACGCCUGAUCAAGCCGUGGAAAUCUCCCUGAUGACUUCACUGGGCUCUUGCAUGUACAUAUAGAGCAGUCAUCUCCAUCCACUUACAGUCCUGCACUGAUGAUGUUCACUUGAACUGUGAAAUGGUUAGCAUUUAAAAGUUGUCCCUUCUACGUGAAUCCUGCUGUGCCUCACGUUUUAUAAUGCCGAGUGUUGUUAAAUGUUUGAGCAAUAUUGCAAUUGUUUCUAUUUGUUGAAUUUAUAUGAAAGCUAUUAUCUGUGACUUGUUAUUAUGCUAUGUGAAGAGAUUCCAACCCUUUUUUCUCCCCUCUAAUCCGUACCACCAAUAAGAAAAGGAACAUAAAUAAAUAAAUACAUGUGGAAA
ensembl:lncRNA